UAACACCUGGAAACAGAUGCUAAUACCGGAUAACAACAGAUGAUGCCUAUCAACUGUUUAAAAGAUGGUUCUGCUAUCACUCUUGGAUGGACCUGCGGUGCAUUAGCUAGUUGGUAGGGUAACGGCCUACCAAGGCGAUGAUGCAUAGCCGAGUUGAGAGACUGAUCGGCCACAUUGGGACUGAGACACGGCCCAAACUCCUACGGGAGGCAGCAGUU
rnacentral:rRNA from 1 species